rnacentral:lncRNA from 1 species
UCUAGAAAUGCUUUUGUGCUACAAUGGCAGAAUUGAGUAAUUGUGACAGAGACAGUAUGGUCUGCAAAAGCUAAAAUAUUUACCGUCUGGCCAUUUGUAGAAGUCUACUGACUCUUGCUUUAAAAAGACUACUUAAUAUUUUAUGUAUAAACAUGUCAUAACUUAAUAAUUCCUUAUUAAAGGAUAUAAAGGCUACUUCUAACCAAGUCAUUACAAAUAUCACUGUAUUUAAUACAUCAGUGUCUGUGUUAUAUUCUCACACAUGGGGCUAUUAUCCAUGUAAGUAUCCAUCUAGGAAUGGGACUGUUGAGAAAAAAUAUCAUGUGCUUUUCAUGGACAUAUUUGUUAAUUUGGUAUCAACAGCAGCCAUGAUGUUAAGGAAACCAGAAGACAGACCAACUGAAAGAAUCAAUUGGGGAAGAAAAAAAGAGAAAUGACCAAUUGAAGGCUGUAUUCCUGGGAAAUGAAAUGAACAAUAUGAUUUCCAAGGGGAAUAAAUUGGUGGUUGCUUUCAGCCAUACCUACAAAAUGGGAGGCUGAAAGUUGGAAAAACCCAGACCUCUAUUUAAUGUAUCAGGGUUGAGGAAACCAAUGCAAGUGUGUUCUUCUGUUAAGGUCACUCUUUGUCGUAAUCGCAAACUUCUCCUCACCUCUCUCUCUGAAUUCAUUUCCUAUGCCAGAACCUUGGAGGCAC